AUGGUUGCCACGCGCAGCCCUUCGGGUGCUACUCUGCACGGCGGCGAGGACGGACGGACAAACGCAGCGGCACUCACCUGCCCGACGCCCACACUUCUCCGCGGCUCUAACGCAGCCCAGCGACUGGGGCCCAGCGAGAGCCAACCGCCACCGGAAGCGGAGUUAGAGACGCCUCGCUGCGAGCAUGCGCAAAGCCGCCCCCUCGCACACCUGCGCUCUCAGGCGGUGCGCAGACGCGGCCCCGCCCCUAACCCCUCCUCCCGCGGCGGAGGCGUCGCCUUCGGCGGCUCGACCCCGGAAGUGGCUGCGGGCCGCUGCCCUCCCUCGGGGUGGGUCCCGGUGGGGGAAUGCGGGACUCUAAGUGCCUCUGGAGACCGGGACGACGGGAUGAUGGACGAGGGGAGCAGUCAGAGGAGCGGAAUUGCACCGCACCGAGUGAUUCACGGAACCGGGGCCUUUAGAGUUUUGCUCGGCCUAAGGGUUACCUCCAGGAGUCGCUUUGAACCUACCAGGCAUAGCUUAGGAAGAUGUUACCUGCUCUGCUGAUUUAUACUAAAAGGGAAGUUUUUAGGGAAGGUAGUUGUCAAAAAAAAAGGUGUCCCUUUGGGGCGUCUGGGUGGCUUAGUCGGUUAAACGACUGCUUUCACUCAGGUCAUGAUCCUGGGGUCCUGGGAUCGAGCCCUAUGUUGGGCUCCCUGCUCAGCAGGAAGUUUGCUUCUCCCUCGCCCUCUACCCCUUCCCCUUCUCCUCCCCCCUCUCUCUGCACCCUCCCCCCUCUCUCUGCACCCUCCCCCAUCACCCCCUCCCCUACUUGUCUGUGUGCCAGCUGCCGUACUACUCUCGCGCUCUCUCUCAAAUAAAUCAAUAAAAUCUUUUAAAAAACAAAAAGGUCUCCUUUGUGACAGUCAUUAACUUACUGAGACUUUUGUACCAUUAACCAUCUGUGUUGGCUAAGAGCCAGAUACAUUGCUGUUUAAUUAUUUAAACAACACGAAUGGGUAACCUUUUAAUAUAUCAUUUGCUUUUUAAAGGAACACUCUGGUUUUAACAUUUGCCCCAAUUUCAUAGAUGAAGAAUCUAAGAUUCAGAAAAAUCAAUGACUUGCCUAAGGUCACACAAUUGGACCUCUGGUACCUAGGUUAGUGCUUUUGAUUACUUUCCUUGCCUCUGCUGUUGUCUUAGCAAGGAAGUAAUUCAUAUCUGAAAACUGUAAAUGGAUAAAGCCGAACAGUCUACACUGUGGAUAUUGAGUUCUACCCACCUCACCUUAGAAUCUGUUACACAUUUGUUUCAAAGCUCAAAUAUUUGACUUCUGUGAAUAUAGUGCCAAGGUAAAUUAGGCAUAACCGGAAACAGGAACUUAUAUAUCAGUCUGUAUACCAGUGGCAAUUUCAGAUGUUUGAGUUUCUUUCUUUGUACAGUAGAAAUUGGGAUAAUAUUUGUCAGGACUAGACAAAUAGUGCAUGCUGAUAGAUAUAGAACCUUGUAUAUGACUCACUCCCCGUACAACAUACCCUUUGACAUGACCUUGACAUGGCUUUUUGAUUGUCAAGAAGAAUUUAACCCUGCUGUCCAUGCCCAACACAGAACUCCAUCCUCCUUGGCUUUUGGAACCGGAUAUUUGCUUAAAUUCCACUUCAGUUAUAUGAUCACUUUACUUAAAAUCUGAUAGCUUUCUGUUUCUUACUCUAUUAAGUCUAAAUUCUUGUACUUGAUUUUCAAGGGCUUUAUAUAACCUGACUUAUUCUAGCUGCCUGAAUUUAUCUCCCACAACUCUUUACUAGAAUCAUUUCACUGUGGAGUUUCCACUCUGAAGAAUAUAAUAGAAUCCAGAGUCCUCCUGCACUCUUGAGGGUAGGAGCCAAGAUUGGGCCUCCUUUAGCACAGGUAUAACAAGUGGACCUAUCUCUCAGACACUGGCCACAAAGGAUGACGUUAGACACGAGAAGUCAGAAAUCUGGCAAGAGAGAAGAUCUCAGGGUGCCCAGCAGGAAAUGAUACCAUGCAGGCUGACCGGAUGGAGUAAAACAAAAAUGUGUUUCUUGCUCUUCUCACUAUAUUGUAACCAAUCAUAGUGUUUUCAUGUUUAACCUGACUUAUAACUCUUCAGUUACCUUUAAGGAUAACCAUAUUUUAUCUCUUUCUGCCAAUGAUUGCAAAUUACUUUUCCCCAUAUAAUUUUUUGACAACUUUCUUGAGUUGUAAAUGCUGUUUCAAACUAAAUAAAUAAAUAAAUAAAUAAAUAAAUAAAUAAAUAAAUAAAUAAAUAAAUUCUAUUUAAGUA